CUGUCAUUUUUGUUGUGUUUGUUUUGUUAUUGAGAGAAAAGCGCGCGGAAUUCAAAUAUUCAUCUAACCGUCGCUCUCAACAGCGUGGACGGCGUCGGGAUGUUCGCUAUCAGUAUUACUGCAAAGAAGAUGUUUGAGGGCUCAGAUUCGUCUCACCUUGGUUUCCUUCAGCAACACAGACGAGUGGAAGCAGAUGUGGUGAUGGGACACGUACAUCUUACCAUGAUGAUCACCUGCGUAUGACGCUGCCGUUGUGCUCCAGGAGCUCCGGAUGCGUCUCAUCUGGAUUCUGAAAGCUUCUGCUGUCUGAAGACCUUCUCAACAUGCUGCUCUUGGGCUUGGCUGUGAUUCCACCGAUCU